CGGGCGGGAGGGAGGGAACGGCCGCGAGGCUCCUCGGAACGGGCAGCGCGCCAUUAACGGCGUCACCCUGAAGCGUGUCUCUGCAGUCUUUUUGGCAGAGGCUUCUUCUCUGGGCGGAUGUCUUAGACCCCCUGCACCUCCUGAAGUCCGCGGAUGAAAUAAAAAAGCCCGGUUAUUGUUAGAAAAUAGUGAAAAGACCCAAAGUGAGCCCAUACAGAAUCAUCAGAAAUGUUUCUAGAAUGUGGAGGAAAUUUCUUUGGAUGACCGCUGCCAAAUUUCAGAGUAAUUGUUCUGAAGAAUAUGCAAAAUAUGCAAAAUGCUCAUAGAGUGCAUUUUGAGUCUUUGGUGUUGCAUCAUCAAACAGAAUGCAGGUUGGUUUGGUUUCACCUUUCAUGAAAUGAGCAGUAG